rnacentral:rRNA from 1 species
AUGAGCACUACUAGGCGCCCACAGCUUCACUUCACCCUGCUACUCCUCGCAUACUACUGCUCCACCCACAUUGCUGCCAACGGCGGCAAUGGAACCACAGUCCAGUGCCUCCCUGAUCAGGCUGCGUCUCUGCUCCAGCUGAAACGCUCCUUCUACAACCCCAACCUUUCCUCGUGGCAGCAUGGUACAGAUUGUUGCCGCUGGGAGGGUGUUGGCUGCAACAGGGCCUCUGGUCAGGUGAUCACUUUGGACCUUGGUGAUCGUAACCUUCAGAGCAUCAGUGGUCUCAGCCCAGCACUAUUCAACCUCACCUCUCUCAGAAAUCUCAGCCUCUCUGGAAAUUUGAGCAAUUUGAGCAAUCUGAAGGAUUGGAGUAUCACCAAAGAGCUAGCUAUGGACAGGGGUGCGUGGAAGCUUGCUAUCCAUGUGCCAGAGCCAUGA